CGUGCUAAAAAUCCUUGGUAGAAUAAAUUGCGGCACAACAAUUUGGUACGUAAACAUAGACUAAUACAUGUUUGUCAGCCGUGUACAGGUCAUAAUCAUAUUGUCACUUGGUGCAAUAACUCACUUAAUGUAUAUGUAUUUUUUAACUACUUAUUAAUGUAUUUUCAUUUUAUUGUCAAUAGGCCAUCAAAAAGGCUGUAUGAAUCAGAUAGUGACACUGAUGAGAAUGAGACAGACACCGAGAGUAGGCCAUCACAAGUUAUUGACAAAGCAACAACGCCCAAACAGGCACGAAGCCUACUUUCACCUCCGCCUAUCUGCUUAUCUGCACAGGCAUUGCGAGAGGCCAGCUGUGAUGUGCAAAGUGCUUCUCUAAUACAAGGUGCUUCUGAUACGCCCUCCCGUGGGCAGAUUAUUGGGCCCACUGCUGUUACACAGAUUCUCUGAGUCUUGGAGACAAUGCGGGAGGAGAAUAGUGAAAUUAAGAGGAUGAUGUAGCAAUUGUUGUCAAGGUCAGCAGCAGAUGACCAACCGCUGCAGCUUCCUGAAGAUAUCUCAUUCCCUAUUCGUUCUCCUUAGCAGAUGGAAACAUUCGAUGAGCUUCUGGGAGAUAAGACAAAGCUGUCAUCUGUGGUGCGGUUCCUCUCAAUGUUUGGUGGGGCAGUUGUGCGGGAAACUGUUGACCGCUAGAUGAUAGAAACCAUGUCAAAUGAACUGGCAAGAAUGUUCAAUAUGAAGGGGCUGAAAGGGAAGAAAACAUUUGGGGGCCUCUAGAUACUGAAUAUAUUGUAUAAAUGUGUCCAAAGGAACUUGCCGACAAAGACUGCGACGAGGAAGGAUAUUGAAAUAAAGGUUUCAAAGUGGCUGGCUUGGGCGUGGGACCGCGAUGGGGGAAGGAAAGCAAGAAACAAAGUGUCCGAGACCUUACCUGAAGCAAAUGAAGGAAGUGACUAGACAUGUUUUUAUUUUUAAAAAAUGCAAAUCUAUAGAGGAUAAAAUUUGACAUAAGCGGAGUUAAAAUACAAAGAUAAAGAAGGAAAUUUGACGGGACUUUAGAAAUUAUUCGACUAAGGCGGAAUUUUGAGUAAAGCGAUUUUGACUUGUUGAGAGUCAACUGUAUUUGAUUGUUAGUGUGUAAGAUGAAAUUUUAUAUCAUCAAGUGAGCUGUAAAAACAUUAUUCUCACGAGUGAGAACACUGUUAUUUAAAAGUCCCUCAAUGAUAUAAAAUUAUACAUCUUACACAACAAACAAUAAAGUGUCUUUUUAUUUUAUGCUAAUGAAAUUUCCUCAAUAUUAACUUUAAUAAUUAUUAAAUCUGUUUUCCCCACUGUUAACAUCAAUUUUAGUUGAAUUUAAGUCCAAUUAUUCAUAAAUACAGGAGUCUUGGGCUGAACAAAAAGUUUGACAAUCAACGUUGAAUAGCAAUGAUUUUAUUUAUUUUAUUAAAAAAAUAUGAAUAAUCGCUUGUUUUAAUAAUAAAAACAAACAAUUCUAGAAGAAAAAGUCACACCAUCCCACCUUAUUUCUGUUACUCAGGCAAUUUAUGUAUGACCUGGCUUUGUGAAAUGUAAGUGGCGGCCAUUUUUAAAAGUUGUGUAUUUUAAGGAAAAUUAAUUUUGUUUUAUUCAGAGGAAUAUUAUUUGGAUAGGUUAGUCUUGAAACAGUCCUGAGAAUGUCAGAAUUGUCAGCAAAAAUGAUAUUAAGGUACCACAUGGGGAAAAUCUUUAAAAAGUAGUCUCGUCAUUGAAAAGUUUGAAAUUUGGAUCAUUUUCACUGUGAAAUUAUCAAAUUGCCUGCUG